rnacentral:rRNA from 1 species
AUUUCCUUCGGGACUGAUUAUUUUGUGACUGAGUGGCGGACGGGUGAGUAACGCGUGGGUAACCUGCCUUGUACAGGGGGAUAACAGUUGGAAACGGCUGCUAAUACCGCAUAAGCGCACGGCAUCGCAUGAUGCAGUGUGAAAAACUCCGGUGGUAUAAGAUGGACCCGCGUUGGAUUAGCUAGUUGGUGAGGUAACGGCCCACCAAGGCGACGAUCCAUAGCCGACCUGAGAGGGUGACCGGCCACAUUGGGACUGAGACACGGCCCAAACUCCUACGGGAGGCAGCAGUGGGGAAUAUUGCACAAUGGGCGAAAGCCUGAUGCAGCGACGCCGCGUGAGCGAAGAAGUAUUUCGGUAUGUAAAGCUCCAUCAGCAGGGAAGAUAAUGACGGUACCUGACUAAGAAGCACCGGCUAAAUACGUGCCAGCAGCCGCGGUAAUACGUAUGGUGCAAGCGUUAUCCGGAUUUACUGGGUGUAAAGGGAGCGCAGGCGGUGCGGCAAGUCUGAUGUGAAAGCCCGGGGCUCAACCCCGGUACUGCAUUGGAAACUGUCGUACUAGAGUGUCGGAGGGGUAAGCGGAAUUCCUAGUGUAGCGGUGAAAUGCGUAGAUAUUAGGAGGAACACCAGUGGCGAAGGCGGCUUACUGG